UACGUAGGGUGCAAGCGUUGUCCGGAAUUAUUGGGCGUAAAGAGCUCGUAGGCGGUUUGUCGCGUCGGCUGUGAAAACUCGGGGCUCAACUCCGAGCUUGCAGUCGAUACGGGCAGGCUAGAGUUCGGCAGGGGAGACUGGAAUUCCUGGUGUAGCGGUGAAAUGCGCAGAUAUCAGGAGGAACACCGGUGGCGAAGGCGGGUCUCUGGGCCGAUACUGACACUGAGGAGCGAAAGCGUGGGGAGCGAACAGG
rnacentral:rRNA from 1 species